rnacentral:rRNA from 1 species
GACGAACGCUGGCGGCGUGCUUAACACAUGCAAGUCGAGCGGAAAGGCCCUUCGGGGUACUCGAGCGGCGAACGGGUGAGUAACACGUGAGUAACCUGCCCCAGACUUUGGGAUAACCCUCGGAAACGGGGGCUAAUACCGGAUACGACACAGCUUCGCAUGGGGUCUGUGUGGAAAGUUUUUCGGUUUGGGAUGGGCUCGCGGCCUAUCAGCUUGUUGGUGGGGUGAUGGCCUACCAAGGCGACGACGGGUAGCCGGCCUGAGAGGGCGACCGGCCACACUGGGACUGAGACACGGCCCAGACUCCUACGGGAGGCAGCAGUGGGGAAUAUUGCACAAUGGGCGGAAGCCUGAUGCAGCGACGCCGCGUGAGGGAUGACGGCCUUCGGGUUGUAAACCUCUUUCAGCAGGGACGAAGCGUAAGUGACGGUACCUGCUGAAGAAGCGCCGGCCAACUACGUG